rnacentral:rRNA from 1 species
UACAGAGGUCUCGAGCGUUGUUCGGAUUCAUUGGGCGUAAAGGGUGCGUAGGUGGCGCUGUAAGUCAGGUGUGAAAUUUCGGAGCUUAACUCCGAAACUGCAUUUGAUACUGCGGUGCUUGAGGACUGGAGAGGAGACUGGAGUUUACGGUGUAGCAGUGAAAUGCGUAGAGAUCGUAAGGAAGACCAGUGGCGAAGGCGGGUCUCUGGACAGUUCCUGACACUGAGGCACGAAGGCCAGGGGAGCAAACGGG